UAAAAUACCAAAUAACAAGCAUUCAUAUGUGGAGCUUCCAUUGUUCCUGCCAGCAUCCAUCUCUUGCAAGAGUACCUAUAAGAAAAGGCAUACAAUAAGAUCAGAGAUAACAACGACCAAACCGAGCGUCGUGAUUUUGACACGCCCACAACAAGUUUUAAGAGGAAAUUCAGUCCCUAUGCAGAUUUUUCACUGAACUUUGUGGCUUCGUCGAAUGUUUGAUGAUGUUUAUCUUCGAUAAUCGAACACAACUUGUGCAAAAUCCAAGCUUGUUUAGUCACAUACGUCAUUCUGUGUGUGUUCAAUUGUCUGCAACACAAUAAUGUCGUAUCUCAUUGUCUUCUCCAUUUUCAAUAACACGACUCAUGCAUCGUGAUGUCAUCCCAUGUCUCGAGACACAUUAGCCAUCUUGUGCUUGGUCACAUCUAUUGAGAACUGACCAUGUGUCGAUCAUUGAGAUAUUUUUAUUCGGAUUGUGCUUAUAAUUGUGUUAUAUUUGUAAUA